rnacentral:rRNA from 1 species
UACGUAGGGUGCGAGCGUUAAUCGGAAUUACUGGGCGUAAAGCGUGCGUAGGCGGUUCGCUGUGUCCGAUGUGAAAGCCCCGGGCUUAACCUGGGAAUGGCAUUGGAAACUGGCGGGCUUGAGUGCGGCAGAGGGGGGUGGAAUUCCGCGUGUAGCAGUGAAAUGCGUAGAGAUGCGGAGGAACACCGAUGGCGAAGGCAGCCCCCUGGGCCGACACUGACGCUCAGGCACGAAAGCGUGGGGAGCAAACAGG